AUGUCAGUGUCUUAUUUACCUGAAUGACAUGCACAUCAUGGUAGGCAAUAGUUGAGAACACAGAAGUGCAAUCUGUGUGCAGAAGAAAGCAGGCCCAUAAGACCCAGAAACCCAUGUUCUUUUUUCUAAAUUCUACUGAGUCUUUAUCAGCACUGUCUAAAAGAACUUUCCAUGAUGAUGAAAAUGUCCUUCAUCAACAGUACUAGCAACAACAUGUGGCUCAUGAGCGUUUGAAAUCUGGAUGGUGCAGCUGAGAAUCACAGGGGAGCUUGUUUGGUUGAGAAUCACGCCAGGAAAGUCAAGGACAUCCAUUUGAGCCCCAUCAGUGGGAUCACUGUGUUCUAUGGCUGCAAACGGAACCCGCAGCUCCAACUGGUUGUCCGGAGUCUUUGUCACACACAUACACGCACCCACAUACACGCCACCACACCUUCUGGACCAGUGGAGAUUCGGUGGUAAGGAAUACCUAUCUGAAGGUCAGCAGGUAAAACCUGGGCUGCUGGGGGGACCCAGCCCUGAGCCGCAUUGUCCCAUGGCUCUGGCUCUGUGCUCUCCCUGCUCCCACCUGCCCCUCGAGGUCUUCUUACCCUCAUUCCCUGGAGGCCGACUUCAGAAUUGUCUAUUAGAUGAAAUCACUCAGAAGCAGGAUUGCAAACUAGUCCCCUCUCUCCCGCUGACUGGAUGAUCUGAAGCGGCUGCCUGUGGAGCUAAUUUGAGGAAGAUGCUGAAACCAGGUCUUGGCUCUGCUGGAAGAACUGUCAUACUGGGUGAGUGCUGUCUGGUGGGGGAGACGGGGAAAGCGGCAGCGUAACUAGCACGGGGCGGACGCUAAGCAGGUGUGCAGCUCUCACGGGGAGGCCCGUGAGGUCUCCUCUCUGAACACAGGACAGAGGGAGGCUGGGAGCCGUGGCAGGGGAAACGCCACAGCUCCUCAGAGCACUCUCAGCACACAGUCACCCCACUGCUGCUCCUGGGC
ensembl:lncRNA